rnacentral:rRNA from 1 species
GUGACUAUGCGACACCGCGUGCAGGAUGAAGGCCUUCGGGUUGUAAACUGCUGUCACGUUCUAGGAACCGUACGAGGUUAACAGCCUCGUGCCUGACCAAGACGGGAGGAAGCGCCGGCUAACCCUGUGCCAGCAGCCGCGGUAAGACAGGGGGCGCAAACGUCGUUCGGAAUCACUGGGCAUAAAGCGCACGUAGGCCGCGCGUCAAGUCGCGUGUGAAAGCCCCCGGCUCAACCGGGGAACAGCACGCGAUACUGGCGCGCCCGAGGGUGGUAGGGGUGAGUGGAACUCCAGGUGGAGCGGUGAAAUGCGUAGAUAUCUGGAGGAACGCCGGUGGCGAAAGCGGCUCACUGGACCACAACUGACGCUGAGGUGCGAAAGCUAGGGGAGCAAACGGGAUUAGAUACCCCGGUAGUCCUAGCCGUAAACGAU